GUCUACGGCCAUGCCACCCUGAACAAGCCCAAGGUCUGAUCUUGGAAGCUAAGCAGGGUCGGGCCUGGUUAGUACUUGGAUGGGAGACCACCUAGGAAGACCAGGUGCUGUAGGUA
rfam:Pteropus alecto contig64402, whole genome shotgun sequence.